rnacentral:SRP_RNA from 1 species
CCUUGCGGCGCAGCCAACGCAGCCCGUCUUCCUCUCCUGGACGGAUCCGACCAGGCGUC